rnacentral:rRNA from 1 species
UACAGAGGGUGCUAGCGUUGUUCGGAAUCAUUGGGCGUAAAGGGCGUGUAGGCGGUUUGUUAAGUCAUGUGUGAAAUCCCUCGGCUCAACCGGGGAACGACGCAUGAAACUGGCAAGCUAGAGUACCAAAGAGGGGGGUGGAAUUCCCGGUGUAGCGGUGAAAUGCGUAGAGAUCGGGAGGAACACCGGUGGCGAAGGCGGUUCUCUGGGCCUGUUCUGACGCUGAGGAGCGAAAGCGUGGGGAGCGAACAGG